CAAGACGUAGCUAAAACAAAGCAUUCAGCUUACACCUGAAAGAUACCUGCCACCCUCAGGUCGUCUUGA
rnacentral:tRNA from 2 species